rnacentral:rRNA from 1 species
GGACGAACGCUGGCGGCGCGCCUAACACAUGCAAGUCGAACGAGAGAGAGGAAGCUUGCUUCCUCAAUCGAGUGGCGAACGGGUGAGUAACGCGUGAGGAACCUGCCUCAAAGAGGGGGACAACAGUUGGAAACGACUGCUAAUACCGCAUAAGCCCACGGCUCGGCAUCGAGCAGAGGGAAAAGGAGCGAUCCGCUUUGAGAUGGCCUCGCGUCCGAUUAGCUAGUUGGUGAGGUAACGGCCCACCAAGGCGACGAUCGGUAGCCGGACUGAGAGGUUGAACGGCCACAUUGGGACUGAGACACGGCCCAGACUCCUACGGGAGGCAGCAGUGGGGAAUAUUGCACAAUGGGGGAAACCCUGAUGCAGCGACGCCGCGUGGAGGAAGAAGGUCUUCGGAUUGUAAACUCCUGUUGUUGAGGAAGAUAAUGACGGUACUCAACAAGGAAGUGACGGCUAACUACGUG